UUCUCCCUCCUCCCUCCUUGAGCUUUGGGUCAGAACAUUUUAUUACUAGAUGGGGGUUAAUCAUGUUUCAAAUUAAGCACUACAUGUUGAGAACAGUGGGUUGUGAUUCCUUUCUGUACAUUUUCUUGUCUGUAACUAUUAUUACUGAGUGUGCAUAAUGUGCUGACACAAAAAUAUCUACAAGGAGUGUAGUGUGUACAAGUAGUGGUUUGUCCCAACCAAACAGCCACUUUGCUGCUGGCUUGUUUGCAACCGGCUUCUGAAUUGAAUUCUACUCUGAGCAGUUUUAUGGUAAGUUUCUCAAUAUUACUUUGAUCUUAAAUGUGUUUACUGAAUAAUAAGGGCAUUGUUUUGUGCCUAUAGUAAUACUGGUUAUUUUGGGGCAAAACAGAUAUUUUUAAUAAUUGAGGUCAUGUCUCCUUUUGUAUUAUUUUCAUCCUACCCACCACUCCAGGCCUAAGUAUGAAAUCCUGCGAGAUUUUGUGGGAUUUGAGUUUUUAAAAAAAAUAGGGCGAGGCCUAUUGUUUGGUCUGGGAGAGCAUGUGGUGGACAAGGAAGUGUAAGGCUGGCUGCUCCAGGUGGGCUUUAAAUUGUUGUGAUAGUAAUCACUUGUUUUUAACUUUUUAUUAUGAUGUGCUUAGGGACGUGCUUAAAUGAGCCUCUGUUCCAGAACAGCUGAGUUAGAUGACUGCAUGACCGUCUGCAGCCAUCAAGAAGUGCAGAAGGUUGUUAAUCAUCCACAGAUUCAAUCCAGCCACUGCUCUGCAGUCCUCAAGAGUCCGAAGCUGACUCUUGAGGACUGACUCAAGAGUCAGUCUUGAGUCUUGACUGGUGACUGGUGCGCUGGUGGUAAGCGCACCAGUAUUAAGUUAUGACUAACUUAAAAAUUAAAGAUUUUCUUAUGUAUAAUUCAAGCGUGCUUUAUUCAAAUCUGAAGAAUCUGGGUUACAAUAGUAUGAGAAAGAGGACACAGAGGUCCAGUUGGAAUUAAGGAAGCUAUUCUGGUUCAUUCCGGCUGGUUUUCAUCAGAGGGGGCUCCACAGAGUCCUCAGGGAGCAGACAGCUCAGAACCAGUCUGUGCCUCAGACGCUUCUGGGCGCCUGCAGUUCAGCUUAAUUCUGGUGCGUAAUUACGCACCAGAAUAGGAGGAAGGCAUCGCAAGGAAUCAAGGUGAUGCCAACCAGAGUCAGACUGGGGUUACUGCAACUUGUACUGUUUCCCUGGUUCAUACAGUACAAAGCUUAACCUCAUGGAUGCUGUUCUUCCAUGGACAACAGACUGUUGUUCUGACAGUCAAAAAGGAGUUAAGUUUGUUUACAGAUCUGUCUCUCUUUUCUUAAAUAAAAUGUUAUAUCAA